rnacentral:rRNA from 1 species
CGCUAUCACUCCUACGGGAGGCAGCAGUGGGGAAUAUUGCACAAUGGGGGAAACCCUGAUGCAGCCAUGCCGCGUGUGUGAAGAAGGCCUUCGGGUUGUAAAGCACUUUCAGUAGGGAGGAAGGUAGUGUAGUUAACACCUGCAUUAUUGACGUUACCUACAGAAGAAGCACCGGCUAACUCCGUGCCAGCAGCCGCGGUAAUACGGAGGGUGCGAGCGUUAAUCGGAAUUACUGGGCGUAAAGCGCAUGCAGGCGGCCUGUUAAGUCAGAUGUGAAAGCCCGGGGCUUAACCUCGGAAUUGCAUUUGAAACUGGCAGGCUAGAGUCUUGUAGAGGGGGUAGAAUUUCAGGUGUAGCGGUGAAAUGCGUAGAGAUCUGAAGGAAUACCAGUGGCGAAGGCGGCCCCCUGGACAAAGACUGACGCUCAGAUGCGAAAGCGUGGGGAGCAAACAGGAUUAGAUACCCUGGUAG